rnacentral:tRNA from 1 species
UUUUUUCUAGUAUAAUUAGUACAACUAACUUCCAAUUAGUAAGUUUUAAAAAUUCAAGAAAAAUA